GACAGAGGGUGCAAACGUUGUUCGGAAUUACUGGGCGUAAAGCGCGUGUAGGCGGCCCUGCAAGUCGGGUGUGAAAUCCCACGGCUCAACCGUGGAAGUGCACUCGAAACUGCAGGGCUAGAGUCCUGGAGAGGAAGGUGGAAUGCUUGGUGUAGAGGUGAAAUUCGUAGAUAUCAAGCGGAACACCGAUGGCGAAGGCAGGUCUCUGGGCCGAUACUGACGCUGAGGAGCGAAAGCGUGGGGAGCGAACAGG
rnacentral:rRNA from 1 species